rnacentral:tRNA from 11 species
CGGUAGCUAAAAUGGAUACAGCAACGGAUUUCUACUGGGGAGACUGCGGGUUCGAGUCCCGCCU